AAACCAACCGGGAUUGCCUCAGUAACGGCGAGUGAAGCGGCAAAAAGCUCAAAUUUGAAAUCUGGCACUUUCAGUGUCCGAGUUGUAAUUUGUAGAAGUAGUUUUGGGACUGGUCCUUAUCUAUGUUUCUUGGAACAGGACGUCAUAGAGGGUGAGAACCCCGUAUGAUGAGGCCCCCAGUCCUUUGUAAAACGCUUUCGAAGAGUCGAGUUGUUUGGGAAUGCAGCUCUAAGUGGGUGGUAAAUUCCAUCUAAAGCUAAAUAUUGGCGAGAGACCGAUAGCGAACAAGUACAGUGAUGGAAAGAUGAAAAGAACUUUGAAAAGAGAGUGAAAAAGUACGUGAAAUUGUUGAAAGGGAAGGGCAUUUGAUCAGACAUGGUGUUUUGCGCCCUUUGCUCCUUGUGGGCGGAGGAUACGCAGCUCACUGGGCCAACAUCAGUUUUGGGAGCAGGAUAAAUCUGUAGGAACGUAGCUUUCUUCGGGAAGUGUUAUAGCCUAUGGGAAUACUGCUACCUGGGA
rnacentral:rRNA from 1 species